rnacentral:rRNA from 1 species
AAGUAAAUGCUUGUCUAAAAGAUUAAGCCAUGCAAGUGUAAGUAUAAGUCCUAGUACGACGAAACUGCAGACGGCUCCAUUAGCAGUUAUAAUUUAUUUGAUUAUGGAUGCUUACCUUAUUGCUAUACUUGGAGAUGAAGGUGCCCCUGUGGCGCCGCUAAACGAAAAGUAUAAAGGGCAUUAUUAAACGGAUAACCUUGAUAAAUUGUGGCUAAUACGUGCUAACUAAGCUUUACCCUGAGUGAAGGGUGAAGGCUUUGUACUUGUUAGUUUAUUAAAUAAAGGUUGAUAAACCAACUUUAAAAGAAAUAGAACUAAGUGAAAGUUAACAAUUUAUCGAAUCUGUUAAAGGACCAAAGACGACAGUCUUUUUCAUUACGCUGGUGUCAAAGCCAGCGUAGUUUUGACCUGCUAUUCCUAGAAUUGUCAGGUUGAGAGUCCUUUAAAGUCAAUCAGAUGUUUCAUUCAAAUUUCUGGUCUAUCAAUUAGAAGCUAGGGUAGUUGCCUAGCUUGAUAAUAACGGAUCCGGGGAAUUAGGGUUCGAUACCGGAGAAGGAGCCUGAGAGACGGCUCCUGUUGCUACGGUGAACAGCAGGCGCGAAACUUUCCCAAAUUUUGACUUAAAGAGGAAGUGACAAGAAAUAUUAACGCGGUCAGCUUUCAUGUUGACUGUACUGUUAAAAUGAGGACAAGUUAAAAUUCUUACCGAUUAACAAUUAGAGGGCAAGUUCUGGUGCCAGCAGCCGCGGUAAUUCCAGCUCUAAGGGUUCGUUUAUUUUAGUUGUUGUAGUUAAAACGCUCGUAGUUGGAACUUUUUUCAAUUUAUGAUCUUAAAUCAUUUAAGAGAAUUAAAUGAAACUAAGAGAAGAAGAGCUUUUUAUCUCCUCUUUUCAUUAAGUUGAGACUCUUCUCUUUUAUUACUGUGAACAAAAUUUAGUGUUCAAAGCAAGCUAUUGUUAUCUAAACACUUGUAGGCAUAUGGAGUGAUAUCUUGUGGAUUCAUUUCCUCCGCUCUAGUUUACAACGUGGCUCUGAGAAAAUUAGCAUGGAAUAAUGGAAUAAGACCUUUUUGGGUUUUUGUUUAUGUUUGGUUUUUAACCUUUUCUCCCAAUAGGUAAUGAUUAAAAGGGACAGAUUUCAGGACUUUUUCUUAUACUUGAACUUAUGGUUACAUAUGAGCAGGAUUUAUUUUCUGUGAUUUGCGUCAUUUGGGAUAUAUAGGUUAUAUAUUGAUUCUGAAUUUUAUCGGGGGCGUUAAUAUUCAACGGGGAGAGGUGAAAUUCAGUGAUCCGUUGAGGAUUAACAGGAGCGAAAGCGUUCGCCAAGGAUGUUUUCAUUAAUCAAGAACGAAAGUUAGGGGAUCGAAGACGAUCAGACACCGUCGUAGUCCUAUUUUACCGUAAACGAUCUCGACUAAGGAUUGGGUCUCAGAGGAUCUCGCUUUGGCCUUUAAAGUUAUCGCACGAUACGUUGUCCGGCUAGUCAUUUUUUCUUGGCUGAAGGAGGUGUUGACUGUGUUUAUCGGCCGCGAGCCUCUAUUUGACAGGGUAAUUCAGGGAACCUGGCCUCGUGCCACGGCUUCCCAAUAAAGGUUACCUUAUGGAAGACUCAGGACUUGAAGGAGAAAUCAUUAAGUGAACGGAGUCUAGGGGGACGUAUUAACGCAAGUUUGAAACUUAAAGGAAUUGACGGAAGAGCACACAAUAAGUGGAGCUUGUGGCUUCUAAUUUGACUCAACGCGGGAAAACUUACCAGAUCCGGAUUGGAUUAGGAUUGACAGAUUGACAGCUCUUUCAUGAUUUCUAAAGUGGUGGUGCAUGGCCGUUCUUGGUUGGUGAAGUGAUUUGUCUGUGUUAAUUCCGAUAACGAACGAGACCUUGACUUACAUGUUUAAAUCUGCAUGAUACUAAUUUCCUACUUAUGGUGUUCUUUUUUAUCUUUUUAAAUUAGUUCGCUUGGAAACUCAUGUAUGUGCAUUUCGUAUUUCUUUAAACCUGGAUGUAUUUCCUUGUUUAAUUGCGGAUUGUAUUUAACCUUGAAGGACGAUUCAUUUAUUAUAGUGAGAGGAAGAGCGAGGCAAUAACAGGUCUGAGAUGCCCUUUGAUGUUCUGGGCUGCACACGUGCUACAAUGAUAGUGGUAACGAGCUUCUUUUAUUAGUAAGUGCGCUAUGGUUAAUUUGAGCUUGUCUCUUUUUGGCCUGCACUUCGAUGAUAAAAGCCUUGCCUGAAAAGGCUGGGAAAACUUUUGAAUCACUAUCUUACUUGGAAUAGGUUAUUGUAAUUAUUGACCUUGAACGAGGAAUUUUUAGUAAGCGCAAGUCAUUAUCUUGCGCUGAUUAAGUCCCUGCUCUUUGUACACACCGCCCGUCGCUUGCCGUGAUGAAGAAAAUAGUUAAUUGAGUAGAUUUGGCCUGCUGUAGCUCUUCGGAGUGUGCAGGAAAGAGAAGCUUAAUGUACUAUUUUCUUUAAAAUGGGAAGAAGUCGUAACAAGGUAUCU